rnacentral:rRNA from 1 species
UGGGGAAUCUUGGACAAUGGGCGCAAGCCUGAUCCAGCCAUGCCGCGUGAGUGAUGAAGGCCUUAGGGUUGUAAAGCUCUUUUUGCCGGGGACGAUAAUGACGGUACCCGGAGAAUAAGUCCCGGCUAACUUCGUGCCAGCAGCCGCGGUAAUACGAAGGGGACUAGCGUUGUUCGGAAUCACUGGGCGUAAAGCGCACGUAGGCGGAUUUGUAAGUCAGGGGUGAAAUCCCGGGGCUCAACCUCGGAACUGCCUUUGAUACUGCGGAUCUCGAGUCCGAUAGAGGUGAGUGGAAUUCCUAGUGUAGAGGUGAAAUUCGUAGAUAUUAGGAAGAACACCGGUGGCGAAGGCGGCUCACUGGAUCGGUACUGACGCUGAGGUGCGAAAGCGUGGGGAGCAAACAGGAUUAGAUACCCGUGUAGUCCCUGAGCGGGCUGGCAAGGCGCAU